CAAAAACGACGAGUUUCUUGUUAUUCUUGCUAGCAAUCUGGCCAUCCAGAAUCUCACAUUGUUUUCGUGAAGUUGUCAGCCAGCCCCUCUAUGUUUGUCCUGAUACACAAGUGUGCAAUGGAAAUGCUUUUUUACAUAUCCCAACUCACCCGCAGGGAGUGAGGUCAUGGCCAGGUCUACUUGCACAGCGACAUUAUCUUUAUCUGCUCCAGGAUUCUUGGUUACUGGCCCAACGCUCUAACCUCGAGGCUAACUGUCGUCUCAGGGCAGUUCUGAGGUUCAUCACUCGACUGGGGCAGUUCUGAGGUUCAUCACUCGACUGGGGCAGUUCUGAGGUUCAUCACUCCAGUGGGGCAGUUCUGAGGUUCAUCACUCCAGUGGGGCAGUUCUGAGCUGAUGCAGAACAGACGUCUUCCCAUUACAUUUGACUGAUCUGGUCCUCUGUGCAUUUACCAUAGCACACACGUCUCUCUCUCUCUCUCACUCACUCACUCACUCACUCACUCACUCACUCACACACACAACAUCACCCUUCUCACACUACCCUCCCAUGAGUGAUGAGUCCCAUAUCAGGCGUGAGCCAAAUAUUUCCAAGGGCCAUUUGACUUUGUGACUUUGUGUAAGGGAGUGCGUAACUGGCGGCAGGGAAGUCAGGCGCAGGAGAGCAAAACUGGGUAAUCAACAGAGCAGUUUUAUUCAUAAAAACCACCAGAAACCAGAACAGCAAACAAAUGGGUAUAAAACCCGUCGCGCACCAGAGAAAACAUGCACUUACAAUAAACAUUUCCGCACAAAGACAUGGGGGGGAACAGAGGGUUAAAUACACAACAUGUAAUGAGGGAAAUGAGACCAGGUGUGUGGGUAGACAAAACAAAAGGAAAAUGAAAGUCGAUCCAUGAUGGCUAGAAGACCGCCGAGCGCCGCCCGAACAAGGAGAGGAACCGACUUCGGUGGAAGUCGUUACACUUUGUGCAACUCCAACAAGACAUUUAACCAGGUGGCAAAGAUGAAGC
rnacentral:lncRNA from 1 species